rnacentral:sRNA from 20 species
GAGGAAGCCCGGUGUGAAUCCGGCGCGGUCCCGCCACUGUGAACCCGGCAGCUGCCGGGUGAGCCAGGAACUC